AUUGAACGCUGGCGGCAUGCUUUACACAUGCAAGUCGAACGGUAACAGGCCUUCGGGUGCUGACGAGUGGCGCACGGGUGAGUAAUGCAUCGGAACGUGCCCAGAGGUGGGGGAUAACGCAGCGAAAGCUGUGCUAAUACCGCAUGUGAUCUGAGGAUGAAAGCGGGGGACCAAGCAGCAAUGUUUGGCCUCGCGCCUCUGGAGCGGCCGAUGUCAGAUUAGGUAGUUGGUGGGGUAAAGGCCUACCAAGCCGACGAUCUGUAGCUGGUCUGAGAGGACGACCAGCCACACUGGGACUGAGACACGGCCCAGACUCCUACGGGAGGCAGCAGUGGGAAAUUUUGGACAAUGGGCGCAAGCCUGAUCCAGCAAUGCCGCGUGCGGGAAGAAGGCCUUCGGGUUGUAAACCGCUUUUGUACGGAACGAAAAGGCUCUGGCUAAUACCUGGGGCUGAUGACGGUACCGUAAGAAUAAGCACCGGCUAACUACGUG
rnacentral:rRNA from 1 species